ACUAAUAACUAAGUGAAUUCGCACAAUGAAGACGUUAAAAAACGGAAAUUAAAUAAGCAUAGCCAAAAUUUUUAUUUUGGAUCGACAACAGAGUCCCCUGCAAUAUAUGCGAGAAACCCACCAAAACGACCGGCAAUUCGUCAAAUCUUUUGUCAGUCUUCAAAAAAAAACAUCAAGAUGCGUAUUUUAAUAAUGUAAUAAUAAAAAGCGCCGCUGUAUACUGCUGUAAGAAUGAAACAAGUAAGCUUUUUAAAAUUUAGGUGCGCAUACCAUUCAGACGAUUUUGUGAAAGACAUAGUUAACAACAUUUUAACGCACUUUAAACACAGCCCAGCAGCUGUGGACAUGCUACGUAAGUUGCACGAAGAUGAUGGCAUAUCAGAUGGUCGGAUUAAGACACUGGUGCAAAGUGUUGAGAAAUUAUGGAAUUCUUGUCUAGUUAUGAUAACAUGAUUUCUAAGUCUAUCAAAUAAAAUACCAAUCGUCCUAAUAAGUCUAUCAUCUUCUGUAAAAGGCUUGCCAAUAAAAGAUGGUUUUUGUUAAUGUUUUAAUUGCGGAAUAAACGUAAUCUAAAAUAGUAUACUUAUUUCCCGAUUGUUACGCCUCCAUAUGUCAAUGACGUCCCUAAUAUCCUAUCCCUAUAUCCCUAUCCAGUAACACGAACUUGCCUAAAUAAUAUUAAAUUGUUUGAAAACGAGCAAAAAAAAGACAAAUUACUUCGCCAUCGAAAACAAUAGUUAAAGGUACAAAGUGACGUUUUUAACUUUUGUCAGAAAAUUAUUUAUACUCCACGAAACACAGGGGACACGUUAGAAUUUCAUGUUUAAAUACACAUAAAUUGGAUGUUUAGAAACACAAAAACAGUACAACUACACAUGUAUUAACUACAUACGUUAAGAACUACAGACUUUGACCUUUAUUUUCCAUAUUUUACUAUAAUUAAUUGAUGUGUAUUAAAAUCGUAUUACGUGCAAAAGUAAUCAAAUAAUUUGUCGCGAAUUGCCUUCUCGCAAUCAGCUGUUCAACACUGCACUUUUAAAAGUGCAUAAAAGGCUUUAGUGAGGGUUUCGGUCCAUAUUGUUUUUGUUUUUUAUUUAUAUGAUCAUUUUACUUUUAGCAAACUAUUGGUAAAGGACAUACAAAUUUAGACUUUAUGCCAAAAAAAAAAAAAAUGAAUUCUGGACCAUUGUGCAAUGAAGAAAUUAAAAGGAUCGUAAAUUUUGAACGGGAUGUUUCAACUGAUGAAGAACGUGAAAA